AUACUGACCUGGCCGGGAAGAUAACAUGACCACGAAGGUGGUUUUCCCAGGGCGAGGCUUAUCCAUUGCACACUGGAUGUGCUGAUCCCUGCGAUUUCCCCGAAUGUUGGAAAUGCGACUGCAUAGUUUGGAGUUAUGGGGGACUGUGUUUGUGCUCUCCCCUA